rnacentral:rRNA from 1 species
UACAGAGGUCCCAAGCGUUGUUCGGAUUCACUGGGCGUAAAGGGUGCGUAGGUGGUGAGGUAAGUCGGAUGUGAAAUCUCCGAGCUCAACUCGGAAAUGGCAUUGGAAACUACCUUGCUAGAGGGUUGGAGGGGGGACUGGAAUACUUGGUGUAGCAGUGAAAUGCGUAGAUAUCAAGUGGAACACCAGUGGCGAAGGCGAGUCCCUGGACAACUCCUGACACUGAGGCACGAAAGCGUGGGUAUCAAACAGG